rnacentral:rRNA from 1 species
UACGGGGGGGGCAAGCGUUGUUCGGAGUUACUGGGCGUAAGGGGCUCGUAGGUGGCCAACUAAGUCAGACGUGAAAUCCCAAGGCUCAACUUGGGAACUGCGUCUGAUACUGGAUGGCUUGAAUUCGGGAGAGGGAAGCAGAAUUCCAGGUGUAGCGGUGAAAUGCGUAGAUAUCUGGAGGAAUACCGGUGGCGAAGGCGGCAUCCUGGACCGAGAUUGACACUGAUGAGCGAAAGCUAGGGGAGCAAACGGG